rnacentral:lncRNA from 1 species
UGAUACAUGUGAAAACUCUGAUGAUGAACUAAUUUCUAACAAAAAUCACUCAGAUAGAGGAGCUGCCCAUUAUUUUGAUGCGAAUUGGUUUUCUUGCUAGUCUCCCUCUCUACCUAUGGUCCCCACCUCGGGAGGUGCUACUCAUGGGGACACGCGACUAAACAAAUUAGAGUUUGAAAUUAGGCUUCAAAAGCUGACUAAUGAACUUCAGGAGCUAAAAAAGAUGUCAGAAGGGGGGGGGGAGAGUAACUCUUCUGAAGUUCACCAGGUGCCGCUAGAAAGAGCUGUGAGUCAGGCUCAUGGGAGAGUACAGAAUAUGUCUGAUAUGCUAGCCUUUCCUGUGGUCAAGGUAGUUGAUCAGCAAGAUACUAGGGCCAGACAUUACCAGACUUUGGAUUUCAAGUUGAUAAAAGUGUUAAAAACGGCUGUUGUGCAAUAUGCCCCUUCAGCCCCAUUUACUCAAGCAUUACUGGAUACAGUCAUGGAGUCACACUUAACUCCCUUAGAUUAGAAGACUCUUUGUAAGGCUACCCUGUCAGGAGGAGAUUUUUUGUUUUGGGAUUCUGAAUGGCGAGAUGCCAGUAAGAAAACUGCCACUUUAAAUGCUUAGGCUGGUAAAUUAGACGGGGAUAGCAACAUGCUUUUAGGAGAGGGUCCAUAUGAGGGACAGACAAAUCAGAUUAAUUUUCCCAUUGCAGUGUACACACAAAUUGCGGCGGCUGCACACUGUGCUUGGGGACGGUUGCCAGUCAAAGGAGAUAUUGGUGGAAGUUUAGCUAGCAUUCUGCAGAGUUCUGAUGAGCCAUACACAAACUUUGUGGACAGGCUUUUGAUUUCAUUUAGCAGAAUCCUUGGAAAGUCAGACAUGGGAAGUCCUUUCGUUAUGCAAUUGUCUUAUGAGAAUGCUAACCCAAUGUGCCGAGCUGUGAUUCAACCACAUAAGGGACAGACAGAUUUGGUGGGAUAUGUCCAUCUUUGCGCAGACAUCAGGCCAUCUUGCGCGAUUUUGCAGGGGACCCAUGUACAAGCAAUGUUCUCGCAGAAACGAGGGAAUAAUGCAUGUUUUAAAUGUGGAAGUUUGGAUCAUUUUAAAAGUAAUUGUCCUAAGAACAAAGGUGCCGAGGAUAGGCAAGCAGGCCGUGCCCCAGGAAUUUGUCCCUGGUGCAGGAAUGGCCGCCACUGGGCAAGAGAGUGCAAGUCUAAGCCAGGUAUUUUGAGCCGCCUGGUGCCUGGAAACGAGGGAAGGGGUCAGCCCCAGACCCCAACUUACUCAAGAAAACAGCUUAUGGGGCUAUAAACCUGCUGCCCAGCCAACAAGAUCAGUUUUUGAGCUUGUCAGGUCAAACACAGGAAAUACAAGACUGGACCUCUAUUCUACCAUCCAGGCAGUAUUAUCCCCAGAAAUGGGAGUCCAAACUCUGCUUACCAGAGUCUUUAGACUGCUACCUGUAGAAAUCUGUGGCUUUCUUUUAGGAAGAAGCAGUUCUAUUGUAAAAGGCCUGCAGAUUUAUCCAGGUGUUAUAAAUAAUGAUUAUGAGGGAGAAAUGAAAAUCAUAGCUGCUUCCCCUCAUGGUGUUAUAAUGGUACCCGCUAAUCAGAGAAUUGCUCAACUUACUUUGAUCCCUUUACGUCAGUCACUGUAUAAAUUCUUUAAAAAUGAGAGAGGACAAAAUAACUUUGACUCCUCUGGCGUAAAUUGGGUACAAUCUAUCACUAAUCAGAGACCUAACCUUAAAUUGACAUUUGAUGGAAAAAGCUUUGAAGGAUUAAUAGAUACUGGGGCCGAUGUAAGGAUUAUAAGAGGGCAGGACUGGCCCUCAAACUGGCCCUUGACUGAUUCCUUAACGCACCUUCAAGGAAUUGGGUACGCUAGUAACCCAAAACGUAGUUCCAAAUUGCUAACCUGGAGAGAUGGGGAUGGGAAAAUCAGGAAAAAUUCAGCCAUAUGUUAUGUCAAAUUUGCCUGUAACUCUGUGGGGAAGAGAUCUGACAUAAAGGGAUCAAAGUAAGUUGAGCAAUUCUCUGAUAAGCGGGUACCAUUAUAACACCAUGAGGGGAAGCAGCUAUGAUUUUAAUUUCUCCCUCAUAAUCAUUAUUUAUAUACCUGGAUAAAUCUGCAGGCCUUUUACAAUAGAACUGCUUCUUCCUAAAAGAAAGCCACAGGUUUCUACAGGUAGCAGUCUAAAGACUCUGGUAGGCAGAGUUUGGACUCCCAUUUCUGGGAAUAAUACUGCGUGGAUGGUGGAAUAGAUGGGCGUUAUUAUGUACAGUUCAAAGGAGAGGGUGACUAAGCAGACAUUCAGGCAGGGACCCCUGCCUGCCUGGUCAUGGACUAAAUAAGAAGGGACAGGGAAUUAAAACUUUUGAGGAUCCUAAACCUCACUCUAACACAAGAGGUUUAAAGUAUUUUCAGUAGCAGCCACAAUCUUACCUGCAUCCCACGCCGAAAAAAUUCAAUGGCUUAAUGAUAUUCCGGUGUGGGUGGAUCAGUGGUCUUUACCUAAAGAAAAAAUAGAGGCCGCUUCUGUGGGGAGCGGGUGUGGCGGCAGUCCCAAAGGCGCCAGGGACUGCAGCUAAGUCAUAUGACUUGCACCUGACUUCCUCAUAUAAGACACAAACAUCUUGAGUGCUGCGCAGGUGUACCAGGAUACAGGUGAAUCCAUUUUGAUGGAGAUAUGCCCCUGCUGCCCUGAUUAGCUGAAGCUGCAUGCCUGGUGAGGUGGCGUGGCCUGCGGUUCGUGGAUGAGAGAGAGUAUAAAAGGAGUGAGAGGCCCAGGGUUCGGGGGAGAUAUAAAAACAAGGGAGAUAUAAAAACAAGGGAGAUAUAUAAACAGGGAGAUAUAAAAACAAGGGAGAUAUAAACAAGGGAGAUAUAAAGAAAGAAGAAACAGGACUGAAUAAACGUGUGCAGAAGGAUCCUGUUGCAGCAUCGUUCUUCCUGGCUAGUUGAGUGCGCGCAACAAGUGGUGCUGAAAACCCGGGAAAAGAAACAUCUUCAGGCAAGAGCGAAGACCCACUGCUACAGGGAGGAUUCAGAACUGCAUCACAGGGAAGAAGGGGUUAAUAAAGUGUUCCCGUAAAACAGACUGUUGAGAAGGAUCUGGCGUGGAUUCAGAACUCUUCAGCUGGGGAACGGUACUGAUGAAGAGAAAGAAGAAAGAUGAAGACGGAAUAAACUGCUGUUAGAAGGACUGGUGGUCGCAUCGUUCUUGCUGGUCGAGAGCGGGCGCGACACGCUUCUUUGCUAGUGCAGGAGCAGUUAGAUGCAGGACAUUUGGUGGAGUCUCAUUCUCCUUGGAGUACACCAAUUUUCAUUAUCAAGAAGAAAUCAGGUAAAUGGAGACUGUUACAAGAUUUAAGAAAAGUUAAUGAAACUAUGGUACUUAUGGGAACUUUACAACGGGGCUUCCCACCCCAGUAGCCAUUCCUAAGGGAUAUUAUAAGAUUGUUAUAGAUUUGAAAGAUUGUUUCUUUACCAUCCCUUUGCAUCCAAAGGAUUGUGAAAGAUUUGCUUUUAGUGUUCAUUCUAUAAAUUUCAAGGAACCCAUGAAAAGAUAUCAAUGGACAGUUCUCACGCAGGGGAUGGCUAAUAGUUCCACCUUAUGCCAAAAGUUUGAGGAACAAGCCAUUCAGCCUGUUAGACAACAAUGGCCAAAGAUUUACAUCAUUCAUUUCACAGAUGAUGUUUUGAUGGCGGGAAAAGACCCCCAGGAUUUGCUUUUGUGUUUCAAAGACUUACAAAAAGCCUUAGCUGAUAAGGGAUUGCAAAUUGCUUCUGAAAAGAUAUAAACUCAGAAUCCUUAUAAUUAUUUAGGUUUUAGACUCACUGAUCAAGCUGUUUUUCCCCAGAAGAUUGUUAUUCAUAGAGAUAACUUAAGGACCUUAAAUGAUUUUCAAAAAUUGUUAGGUGAUAUUAAUUGGCUUUGCCCCUAUUUAAAGCUUACUACAGGGGAGUUGAAACCUUUAUUUGAUAUUCUUAAAGGGAGUUCUGAUCCCACUUCCCCUAGAUCCCUAACCUCAGAAGGAUUGCUGGCCUUACAGCUAGUGGAAAAAGCUAUUGAAGAGCAAUUUGUCACUUAUAUAGAUUACUCCUUGCCGUUGCAUCUGUUAAUUUUUUAUAUGACUCAUGUGCCUACGGGACUGCUAUGGCAGAAAUCCCCUAUAAUGUGGAUACAAUCAAGGAUUUCUCCUAAAUGUAAUAUUUUCCCAUAUCAUGAAACAGUGGCCCAGAUGAUUAUCACUGGAAGAAAGCAGGCAUUAACUUAUUUCAGCAAAGAGCCAGAUAUCA